UUAUUGUCCAGGAAGGAAAGUGGACAUUAGAAUCACUCAUAAACCUCAUGAGGUGUAGUGCCGUAUACCGAUCCUGCCUUGGAGGUGGUUAAGUGGGAGACGUGUCUCAGAGCUGGAUAGUGACAGAUGGUGACGCGAGACUGGAUGGGCACGUAGUUUAUGUAUCAGCCGAUAGAGGACAAUAUUGGAUAGGAGACCGAUUUAGUUUCGAUUGUGCCCACUAGAGUGCACUAAAGUAAGAGAAUUUUUUUCAUAAACUGUUCUAGUAUUUUCAUAAAGUGUUAUUAUGUCUUUUUGUGUAUGUAACAUAUUAUAAAUGUGUUUUAGCAGCAUGAAUGAAGCAUGAGUGUGGUUUAAGUUUACUAUAAGAUGAUUGUUUAACGAGUUAUGUAGUGGGAUUUAGUGUGGGAACAUUUCGAAGAAGUAUGGAUGUGGACAAAGGGGAUUUUUGUAGAAUAGAUUUGUAAUGUAAGUUUAUGGUAAAGGGAAAGUUAAUACAGGUAUAAAUAACAAUAGUAAAUAAAUUUAUGCAUAAAAAAAACUUCAGCAUAUUAGAUAAUAACGUCGGUAAAAAGUGCAGUCUUUAGGUUUAGUAUUUUACGAUUGGUUAUUGAUGAAAAGCACGGACUGACGCGGGAGAAUGUUGUUUUGCUAUUGGCUGUUGAGUAAACUGACCAAUGGUAAAGCAAUAUUCUUCGCACGCCUUUUCUCUGCUAGUGGAGAAGACUUAGAGUAGUGAUGGGCUAAACUGCGAUUUUCCAGUAUCAGUGAUUUCUGUGAAUGCUACUUUUCAGUAUCUGUUAUUCUUAACUGUGAUUUGUCGCAGUUAGGAGUCGCAGUUAAGGAAAGUUGGUCGUGUAUUCCUCCGCCACUGCUAUUUCUGCGAUUACUGUUACUUCCAUGAUUUCUGUGACUUCUGCUACUUCUGUGAUUUCUGCUACUUCUGCGAUUUCUGUGACUCCUGCGAUUUUUGCGACUUACCACGGUAUGAUAAAGUUACAUCUGCCCACACAGAAAAUUGCAUCUCAACAAACCUGUCAUUGGUACCCGAACUACAUUUCAGUCACUCAGUAAAUUGAUAACUCAAAAUAUCAUUGUCAACAGAUCUGGAGAAAUUGCCACUGCGUCUUUAGACCGUUUUCGUCAGACGAGAGACACAGUUCUGACUCUUGAUUACUGGUUGAUGUACGUAUCUAUCCGCAUCAAGGCUGUUGAGAGAGACUCGUGAAGAUUCAAGACAGCUCUUAGAGGAUUUGCAGUUUAAAAGUGACAUAAUUGUGAAAUAAGUGUGCAGAUGAGUGAUUAAGCUGUGUUUUAUUGAAGUUAUGUGACUUGAA